AAAAUAACGUUUAUUCUGAUUGGCUGUCUCUAGUAAAAAUAACAUUUAUCCUGAUUGGCUCCAUUUCUAGCUCCCAAAGCCCCGUGGAACCCAGCCUGGACAUCAGAACAGCCCCUAAGCUCCUUCCACAUCGUGUGGCAUAACCAUGGCUUCCUCAUCACAGUCAUUCCAGAAAAAGCUGCUUAAUGAUUGAGCCAACCCAUCCAUUUAGGAAGUGGAGCUGACUCGGCUGUGACGAGGGUUUGCGUGAGGACUCUGGUCAGUGACUCUCAAAGGGUGGGCUCCUGGACAGCAGCAACACCCUGAAACUUGUUAGAGGGGGAAAUACUUGGGCCACCGCCCAGAACUGCUGAAUCAGAAACGCUGGUGUUGGACGGCAGCACCGAUGUGUAAACAAGCCUUCCAGGUGACUCGGAAGCAUGCUAAAGCUGGGGACCACUGCUUUAGACCCGGGAGCAGCUUCUGACGUGGGUACCAAGCUUUUGUUCCUUUGUGGACUCCAGCAUCUGUCUGUUUUCCUCCGAGGAUCUGACUGGGAACUGGAGGAACUUCAUUCGAAGCAGUAGGCCUAUCCCAGAUCAUCCUUUUAGGGGAAAAAAGGAGAUGAGGAAGGAUUAGAACCAAACUUUUGGAUGAACUCAGAACAAAUGAUCCACGAGCCAUUCUCUCCUAACACUGAAGGCCGACAGGGUGGAUUUCUUCUCUGCUCACCUGCUGGGUGUCAUUCAACGCCCUGGGAGGACAUGGAAGGCAGAGACAGGUGUUUUACAGGUGUGCUCCCACCUACCUGGGAGGCAGGCAGAAGCUGGCUCUGUCCCCGAGGCAGAGCACUGAAGGCACCAAGAGGUGCGUGGGAAUGUUCCAGGCCACUCAGGGAAUGAGUCAUCAGAGGCAGGAACAGAAGCCAGAUCUUUUGACCCCGGUCCACGCUCUAUCAGAGAACGCCACGCUAAUGAGAGCUGAAGGGACACUGGCUGGAGAAAGCGCGACACUUGUACGCGAGGGCUUGAGUGGGAUUUGUCAUUUGUAGCGAAGGCCCGGAUAUGUGACACAGAGGGGUCCGGGUGUCGGCAGGGGAACACCACCACCACCAGGAAGAACCUGACCGCCCUACCACAUCCCUCUGGGCCAAGGCGUCUGGGGAUGGCUCAACUUACAUGCCGUGUCUCAGCACGUGCCGCUCCCACUCGGAGCCCUGGGAAAACGCCCGCCCGCAAAAUUCACACGGAAAGCGCUUCUGAGGGUUCAUGGCAGCCCCGUGGUCAGCAAACCUCAUCAGAUCUGUAAGGAGAAAGCGGAGCAAGCGUUACCCGAGUGCUGCGGGAGGCGGCGGAAGAGGUAAGCCAGCGUUUAGGAGACCUCCGUCCCUCCCUCGUCACACCAUUUGUGAGAGCGAGUUCCAGAUCCCCUGUCCUUCCUCCCACCGGCUUUUCACCCGAGGGCACUUCUGGAACGGCUCUCAAGAACUGUACCUGGCUCCCAGGACCCACGCGUGCCCGUCCCCACCUCUCCAGCUGCUUCUGUCACAAACAACCGGGGUCAUUCCCACGGCGCCUGAGCAGCUUGUCUAUUAAAUCUCCCCCGCCCGUGAUGGUCUAGCAGUGCCUCACCGUUUAGCACUAUUCAUUUUCUACUUGACAUGAGUUUGUUCACUAAAAAGAAUACAGGCUCCCGAAAGCAUGGACCAGGUUACGCGCAGACCCGGGGGUUUCAGUGCCUUCCAGUGGGAACGCCGUCCUGACUCUCGAUGGCGGUCACCUGUCACGGAUGUCACCAUCAACACCUCACGGGCUCCGAGCACCGAAUGCCUGAAGGUGUGUGCUGGACCACGGGAGGCCGGCGUGUGAAAGCAGGCGUGACCUCGGCUAACGAGGGAGCCUGGCCAGCUGCCCGGCCCUUACUACUCAAGCGGUGAAAUACGGAAGGCGGGGACAUGCAGACAUUUGGACAGGUCUGUUGUAGACAUCAAACGUGGACUGUCAUUGUUUUUUUCUCCUCUGUGGCACUGGGCACAUGGUAGGGUCUGAUAAGCGUGGGUUGGGCGGCUAAUUGUUUACAGGCCACUCCUCCUGGCAGCCUCCACGACAGGAACUUUUGUGACCUUUGUGGGAUCGGAGUCCCAGCCCAUGUGUCCUUCAUGACAACACAGCGGGCCAAAUUCUCCCGGGGGCUAGCACCAACCAUCUCCCCAGAUCUGAUCUCUCGGUGCCUGUCCGUACAAGAUGUUACAGCAGUGGUUCUCAACCAUCCUAAUGCUGCGACCCUUUAAUACAGUUCCUCAUGGUGUGGUGACCCCCAACCAUAAAAUUAUUUUCGU